GCCUGGGUGGCUUAGUUGGUUAAGCGUCUGACUUCAGCUCAGGUCAUGAUCUCACUGUUUGUGAGUUCGAGCCCCACGUUGGGUU
rnacentral:tRNA from 1 species